CCUAGCUUCUUGGUCCGCUAUUCCAUAAUAAUCAAGCACUGUAGUUACCAUGGCAACUGACAGUUACUGAUGUAAGGGAUACUAACCACAUUUCUUCUGUUUCCUCUACAGCACAUCACCCAUUUCGUGUAGGUUUGUGACUUUGGAUCCUGCUGCUCCAGGCUGGGAAUCAUGCUCCAUCACCUGUAGGAUGGAGCCCAGCACCUCAUCAAGCAGAAGGACUGCAUGCUCCAGCCUUGUCACCAGCAGAGCUUCCCCUUCCACACCAAUCUCACUGGCUCCAAAAGCCAUUCUUCCCCCUACAAAAUGGGGCAGGAUCUGUGGCCUAGCCGUGCUGUGAAAGAGCUCUGUACAACAGCUGCAUGUGGCCUCACCAAACUCCCAACAGACUGCACCAGCAGAGUGCUCUGCAAGGAGCACAGUAUUCUAGGGGCAGCUGUUCUGAAGCGGUAUACAGUGCAACGAUGCAACCAAUAUGGAUUUUCAGUCUUCACAGGAAGGAUGAUCUAAUGCAUCAGGGCUGGCUUCAGCCACAUCUGCCAAAAGGUG
rnacentral:lncRNA from 1 species